rnacentral:rRNA from 1 species
UACGAAGGGGGCUAGCGUUGUUCGGAUUUACUGGGCGUAAAGCGCGCGUAGGCGGACAUCUAAGUCAGGGGUGAAAUCCCAAGGCUCAACCUUGGAACUGCCUUUGAUACUGGAUGUCUGGAGAUCGGGAGAGGUGAGUGGAAUUCCGAGUGUAGAGGUGAAAUUCGUAGAUAUUCGGAGGAAUACCGGAGGCGAAGGCGGCCUUCUGGACCAUUUCUGACACUGAGACGCGAAAGCGUGGGUAGCAAACAGG